AUUGAACGCUGGCGGAAUGCUUUACACAUGCAAGUCGAGCGGCAGCACGGGGGCAACCCUGGUGGCGAGCGGCGAACGGGUGAGUAAUACAUCGGAACAUGCCCAGUCGUGGGGGAUAACACUUCGAAAGAAGUGCUAAUACCGCAUACGUCCUGAGGGGGAAAGCGGGGGAUCGCAAGACCUCGCGCGAUUGGAGUGGCCGAUGUCAGAUUAGCUAGUUGGUGGGGUAAAGGCCUACCAAGGCAACGAUCUGUAGCUGGUCUGAGAGGAUGAUCAGCCACACUGGGACUGAGACACGGCCCAGACUCCUACGGGAGGCAGCAGUGGGGAAGUUUGGACAAUGGGGGCAACCCUGAUCCAGCCAUUCCGCGUGAGUGAAGAAGGCCUUCGGGUUGUAAAGCUCUUUCGGCAGGAACGAAACGGUGAGCUCUAACAUAGCUUGCUAAUGACGGUACCUGAAGAAGAAGCACCGGCUAACUACGUG
rnacentral:rRNA from 1 species